GACGAACGCUGGCGGUGCGCCUAACACAUGCAAGUCGAGCGGAGUUGAAGUUGGAACUGAGGUUACCGUCUGAGAAGGUAGGACAAGGUGAUUUCAGAUCUGACUUUAACUUAGCGGCGGACGGGUGAGUAACACGUGAGCAACCUACCAUUAGGAGGGGAUAACAUCUGGAAACAGAUGCUAAUACCGCAUAUAGUGGCACCAUCACAUGAUGGAGUCAUGAAAGGAGAAAUCCGCCUAUUGAUGGGCUCGCGCCUGAUUAGCUAGUUGGUGAGAUAAAAGCUCACCAAGGCAACGAUCAGUAGCCGGACUGAGAGGUCGAUCGACCACAUUGGGACUGAGACACGGCCCAAACUCCUACGGGAGGCAGCAGUGGGGAUAUUGGUCAAUGGGGGAACCCUGAACCAGCGACACCGCGUGAGGGAGAAGGUUUCGGAUUGUAAACCUCUAGUUGUCGGGGAAAUAAUGACGUACCGAUGAGGAGCCACGGA
rnacentral:rRNA from 1 species